rnacentral:rRNA from 1 species
UACGGGAGGCAGCAGUGGGGAAUAUUGCACAAUGGGCGCAAGCCUGAUGCAGCCAUGCCGCGUGUAUGAAGAAGGCCUUCGGGUUGUAAAGUACUUUCAGUCGUGAGGAAGGUGUUAAGGUUAAUAACCUUAGCAAUUGACGUUAGCGACAGAAGAAGCACCGGCUAACUCCGUGCCAGCAGCCGCGGUAAUACGGAGGGUGCGAGCGUUAAUCGGAAUUACUGGGCGUAAAGGGCACGCAGGCGGUUAAUUAAGUUGGAUGUGAAAUCCCCGGGCUUAACCUGGGAAUGGCAUUCAAGACUGGUUAGCUAGAGUCUUGUAGAGGGGGUAGAAUUCCAUGUGUAGCGGUGAAAUGCGUAGAGAUGUGGAGGAAUACCGGUGGCGAAGGCGGCCCCUGGACAAAGGCUGACGCUCAUGUGCGAAGCGUGGGGAGCAAACAGGGAUUACGAUACC